GAAAGAGUCAUCCGCAUACGGUCGGCUUUCCAUGGACGGAGGCGUAGCGACGUCUGUCCCUGUGGCGGCGGAUCACGCGAUGACUGCAGGGUGGAAGGGGCUCUCUCUCACUUUAGAGGAUUGUGUGACAACUAUCAGAUUUGCCCCAUUUACCCUGGGGAUACGGACUCCUGCCCUGGUAUCUCCAAAUACCUCCACGUCGUCUACAGCUGUGAGAAGAAAGUGUGUCUUGACGGUCUGGGCAUCGCUGACGGGAGAAUCCCAGACUCUUCCUUUACAGCCUCUUCCUCUGAGAUCAAUGCCGAACCUCACAAAGCGCGUCUGGGGGGCA